UCAAUCACUACUCCUUCAAACAGCGGUA
rnacentral:sRNA from 1 species